rnacentral:tRNA from 1 species
GAGGAUGUAGCUCAGUGGUAGAAUGCAUGCCUAGCACGCAUACAGUCCUGGGUUCAAUCCCCAGUACCUCCA